UCACGAUGGCAACCAUACGCUACAUUGUCCACGAUAAGGCUUUCACCCAGCUGGUCAUUUCCGAGAAAAGUGUGAAUUUCUUUGGUGUACAACAAAAACCUACAAAUACAUGUGAGCCGCAACAAGCUGCCGAGGUACUCUCUUUGGACCAUCACGAUGGUAUGCUUCAAGACGUCUCGCGAUUCAUGCUGUGGUCAUUUCUUGCCAUCAUCAUGGCAACCUGGCUGUGGCGUCAGUAUUACCAGCAUGCGAUGGAUGCACGCAGCAAACUGCCCCUCCCACCAGGGUCCAUGGGCUUUCCAUUGGUGGGCGAGACACUCUCAUUAAUAACUAAAGGCUCUGACUACUACCUAUCUCGGCGGCAACAGUACGGAAACGUAUACAAGACCCACCUUCUGGGACAGCCCACCAUCAGAAUCAUCGGAGCUGAUAAUGUACGCCAUAUUUUGAUGGGGGAGCACGUCAAUGUUGAGGCCAGUCAGCCAAGAUCUCUCCAACGUCUGCUGGGACCAGGUGGACUAACAAAUGCAAGUCCUGACAGUCACAGGAUCAGGAAGAAGCUACUCCUCCGGGCUUUGGCUCCUGCAGCUAUACAAGGACAUGUUCCAACAAUUCAAAAACUUGUAAGAAACCAUAUUUUGGACUGGUGCAGCAAAGGGCAACAAUUCGGAACAGAUAUUUGCAAACGCUUGGCAAUGUCACUUGCUGCCAACGUCCUUAUUGGAUUUGACGUUGAUGAUCAGAACCUGCAGUCAAUAAUCAGCUCCUUCCAGACUUUCACGGGCAACUUGUUUUCACUGCCAUGGGAACUGCCUGGAUCAGGAUUGUCCAAGGGUCUAAGAGCACGAGAACAGCUGAUAAAGGAAAUUAAGAAAAGACUUCACAGGGAGACACAACAGUGGUCCCUCGUUGAUGAACUGAAGAAUCUUGAUGAAACGGCUGCCUCACUCACCGCAGACGAAAUGACAGACGCAGUCUUAGAACUAUGGUUUGCAGGAAAUGAUACCAGUUCAAGCACGGCAAAUUCAACACUACUGGCUUUAGGUAAAGAUGAUGGAGUUCGAAAACAAAUCGAAGAAGAACUGGAAGAGAAUGGACUAUUAAGUUCUGAAGAAGAGCUGACUUUUGACAGUUUAAAGAAACUGACCUACGUUGAUCACGUGGUGAAGGAGGUGCUCAGAGUGUAUCCCCCUGUUGGUGGUGGAUUCAGGAAGGUUAAGAAAACAAUGGAGAUUGAGGGCUACCAGAUUCCAGAGGGCUGGACUGUGAUCUACAGCAUACGAGACACGCAUCAAACAACCAAACUCUUUGACGACAAGGAGGAAUUCAAACCUGAACGCUGGAAUGAAAUGGACGAAAAGACACGUGUGAGUGGCCAACGAUUCAACUACAUUCCUUUUGGAGCAGGUGCUCGUGCAUGUCCAGGCGAAAGGUUUGCCAGGAUGUUUGUGAAAAUCUUUAUUGUGGAACUCAUAAGGACAUGUACAUGGGAACUCAAGAACAAAAGUCCUAAGAUUACCUACUUUCCAGUAACAAAACCUUCAGAUAAUCUCCCUGUGACCUUUCACCUUCGUAAGGAUGUUAACAAGAAUGUGCAACAGAACGUCUAGAUGUCCUUCAGUGGACAAAGAUGAUGGAGUUCGAAAACAAAUCGAAGAUGAACUGGAAGAGAAUGGACUAUUGAGUUCUGAAGACGAGCUGACUCUUGACAGUUUAAAGAAACUGAACUAAGUUGAUCACGUGGUGAAGGAGGUGCUCAGAGUGUAUCCCCCUGUUGGUGGUGGAUUCAGGAAGGUUAAGAAAACAAUGGAGAUUGAGGGCUACCAGAUUCCAGAGGGCUGGACUGUGAUCUACAGCAAACGAGGAAUUCAAACCUGAACGCUGGAAUGAAAUGGACGAAAAGACACACUUGAGUGGCCAACGAUUCAACUACAUUCCUUUUGGAGCAGGUGCUCGUGCAUGUCCAGGCGAAAGGUUUGCCAGGAUGUUUGUGAAAAUCUUUAUUGUGGACAUGUACAUGGGAACUCAAGAACAAAAGUCCUAAGAUUACCUACUCUCAAGUAACAAAACCUUCAGAUAAUCUCCCUGUGACCUUUCACCAUUCACAAGGAUGUUAACAAGAAUGUGCAACAGAACGUCUAGAUGUCCUUCAAUGGACAAACUUGGGAGCUUGCAACGCCAAUUCACAGCUGGAACUGUGUAAAGGGCUUUUGAAUUAAAGAGACCUCCAGAGACAUGCUUACCACAAGUAUUGAUGGUGUACAGAGAGUUUAAGCCAUCAGGAAGUUGUAACCACAUAUUAUAUAUCUGACACUCCUCCCAAAACUUUAUCUGCGAACUAGAUUGUUUGGACACUUGUUGCGUUGACACACGCCCUAAAAGAACAUAGUGGUGCAACGAGGUGGACCAUUUAGUGAGUGUUGAGUAAGCUGUGUUAUACUGUGUAAGUUGUGAUGAUAUGAUUCCAUUUUCUAUAGUUUCAAGUUCCUAUAUUUUGACAGAUGCCUAGCCCUUAGUCAGCUUUCGUUUCGCAUUAAUGAUUAAGGGGAAGGCAUUUCCAACAUACCGAGAUCUUCAGAUUACCAAAAGAAAUUAAACAAAAAAUAUAUAUGUAGUUAUCAAGUGAAUACGUUGAGAACAACUGACAAGAGAUACUUGAUUUGCUCUUCCGUGUGUUUGUGUCGGUGUCACCGGUUGGCCAUGUCCUACAGUUAUGGAUAUGGGUGUUGUGGCAUUUAUUCAAAGCAGGGAAUGGUAUCGUUUCCAAUAUUUUGGUAACUGAUUAGUGUCCAACGUGCUAAAGACUAACUUUUGUGAUAACCUACAAGUUUCAGACUAAGUGGGCCAGUCAUCAUAUGCCUGAGUGAUCAAGCUUGAGUUGUAGAUACUCUUGAGAUACACUGAUGGCAAUAGUAGAUGUAUACCAUGUAUAUGUCAUAUAUGUAAACGACUGCAUACACUACCAUGUAGUGUCCUGUUUUUGUCAUGUUGAUCAUGCAAAGAAUGUUAACUUGUUACAUCAGUAACAGGCCUUGUGCCUUGUACAAAAAGAGUGUAAAUAUAUAAGUUAUUUCUACAAUAAUGAUACAUCAUUGCAUGAUUGAAAUAAACUUUUGAACUUAU